GCACUCCUGAAGAGUCCCAGAAUGGGACGAAACAGCUGUCUAGUGA
rnacentral:hammerhead_ribozyme from 1 species